rnacentral:rRNA from 1 species
UACGUAGGUGGCAAGCGUUGUCCGGAAUUAUUGGGCGUAAAGCGCGCGCAGGCGGUUUGUCGCGUCGGCUGUGAAAACUCGGGGCUCAACCCCGAGCCUGCAGUCGAUACGGGCAGACUAGAGUGCUGUAGGGGAGACUGGAAUUCCUGGUGUAGCGGUGAAAUGCGCAGAUAUCAGGAGGAACACCGGUGGCGAAGGCGGUUCUCUGGGCAUUACCUGACGCUGAGGAGCGAAAGCAUGGGGAGCGAACAGG